rnacentral:lncRNA from 1 species
GUAAACCCAUACAAAUUCACCAAUAAGAGAAUGUAGGUAGAUUAUAGAUAGAGCACUAAUAAGAACUAUGUGAUGUUUGUAGAUAUCUAUCUUCAAAGCGAAUAAAGGCUUGUUAGGAUGUGGUGGCAUCAAAGCAAAGCAAAUAUAUCAGAUAAAAACGAAUGUGUUCUUGGUUUAUUUAUGGUAACAAACUACUUUUAAAAUCAUGUUUAAGGAAAAAACGGGAAUAUAUGCCAUAUAAAUAUGAGUUUGUUCUAACAACACGUCAAGUUUUGCUUAACAUUUUACCAAAAAAAAAAAAAAAAAAACACGUCAAGUUUGACGCAGACGGGUAGAGGAAUGUUUCGUAGAAGAAGCUAAACUUCGAACCUUUAUGAGAGUCCAAGAUUCUUCUCCUCUUUGUGACAUUUCGGAAAGGAACAAAAUAAUAAGAAUAAUAAAUACUAUUAUAUUUGACCAAAAAAAAAAAUCUACGAACAGGGCAGAACGAUUAGUUUUGGAAGAUAUUUGCUGGGUCAAUAGGUUGUAGAAUAAUAGUAUAAUACUAAGUUAGACAAAUGUUUAAACAACAUGAGAGUAAUCCGUCUAAAUAAUAAAUAGCUGAACAAGCAAUCCGUUAUUGAUAAUGGAAACACAGUCUUGGCUCAAGGUAGAGAUGGCAAAAUGGAGGUUUGCCCGCGGGCCUGACCCGUAAAGACCCGAUGCGGAGCGGGAUUGGGC